GACGAACGGCUGGGCGGCGUGCUUAAAACAUGCAAGUCGAACGGACUUCUCAUGAAGCUUGCGAUUGAGAAGUUAGUGGCGGACGGGUGAGUAACGCGUGGGCAACCUGCCCCUGAGCCCGGGAUAACAGUUCGAAAGGACUGCUAAGACCGGAUAUACUUGCGGGGAAGCAUUUCACUGCAAGGAAAGGGAACGCUCAGGGAUGGGCCCGCGUCCCAUUAGCUAGUUGGUGAGGUAACGGCCCACCAAGGCGACGAUGGGUAGCCGGCCUGAGAGGGUGAACGGCCACACUGGGACUGAGACACGGCCCAGACUCCUACGGGAGGCAGCAGUUGGGAAUCUUCGGCAAUGGGCGCAAGCCUGACCGAGCAACGCCGCGUGAGUGAUGAAGGUUUUCGGAUUGUAAAGCUCUGUCUUCCGGGACGAUAAUGACGGUACCGGAGGAGGAAGCCACGGCUAACUACGUG
rnacentral:rRNA from 1 species